GAUGAACCCUAUCUACAGGCUUAACACAUGCAAGUCGAGGGGCAGCAUUUCACUUUGCUUGCAAACUGGAGAUGGCGACCGGCGCACGGGUGAGUAACACGUAUCCAACCUGCCGAUAACUCGGGGAUAGCCUUUCGAAAGAAAGAUUAAUACCCGAUGGCAUAAUUAGACCGCAUGGUCUUAUUAUUAAAGAAUUUCGGUUAUCGAUGGGGAUGCGUUCCAUUAGGCAGUUGGUGAGGUAACGGCUCACCAAACCUUCGAUGGAUAGGGGUUCUGAGAGGAAGGUCCCCCACAUUGGAACUGAGACACGGUCCAAACUCCUACGGGAGGCAGCAGUGAGGAAUAUUGGUCAAUGGACGAGAGUCUGAACCAGCCAAGUAGCGUGAAGGAUGACUGCCCUAUGGGUUGUAAACUUCUUUUAUACGGGAAUAAAGUGAGGCACGUGUGCCUUUUUGUAUGUACCGUAUGAAUAAGGAUCGGCUAACUCCGUGCCAGCAGCCGCGGUAAUACGGAGGAUCCGAGCGUUAUCCGGAUUUAUUGGGUUUAAAGGGAGCGUAGGCGGACGCUUAAGUCAGUUGUGAAAGUUUGCGGCUCAACCGUAAAAUUGCAGUUGAUACUGGGUGUCUUGAGUACAGUAGAGGCAGGCGGAAUUCGUGGUGUAGCGGUGAAAUGCUUAGAUAUCACGAAGAACUCCGAUUGCGAAGGCAGCUUGCUGGACUGUAACUGACGCUGAUGCUCGAAAGUGUGGGUAUCAAACAGGAUUAGAUACCCUGGUAGUCCACACAGUAAACGAUGAAUACUCGCUGUUUGCGAUAUACAGUAAGCGGCCAAGCGAAAGCGUUAAGUAUUCCACCUGGGGAGUACGCCGGCAACGGUGAAACUCAAAGGAAUUGACGGGGGCCCGCACAAGCGGAGGAACAUGUGGUUUAAUUCGAUGAUACGCGAGGAACCUUACCCGGGCUUGAAUUGCAACUGAAUGAUGUGGAGACAUGUCAGCCGCAAGGCAGUUGUGAAGGUGCUGCAUGGUUGUCGUCAGCUCGUGCCGUGAGGUGUCGGCUUAAGUGCCAUAACGAGCGCGACCCUUAUCGAUAGUUACCAUCAGGUUAUGCUGGGGACUCUGUCGAGACUGCCGUCGUAAGAUGUGAGGAAGGUGGGGAUGACGUCAAAUCAGCACGGCCCUUACGUCCGGGGCUACACACGUGUUACAAUGGGGGGUACAGAAGGCAGCUACACGGCGACGUGAUGCUAAUCCCGAAAGCCUCUCUCAGUUCGGAUUGGAGUCUGCAACCCGACUCCAUGAAGCUGGAUUCGCUAGUAAUCGCGCAUCAGCCACGGCGCGGUGAAUACGUUCCCGGGCCUUGUACACACCGCCCGUCAAGCCAUGAAAGCCGGGGGUACCUGAAGUGCGUAACCGCAAGGAGCGCCCUAGGGUAAAACUGGUGAUUGGGGCUAAA
rnacentral:rRNA from 1 species